UGUGGGAGCGGGCUUGCUCGCGAUACAGGCAGCGCGGUUUCUCAGGCAUACCGAGUCGCUGCCAUCGCGAGCAAGCCCGCUCCCACA
rnacentral:antisense_RNA from 1 species